rnacentral:pre_miRNA from 1 species
CAUGCACUAGUGGGGUCCCUCGGCCUGGUCUGUGCCCUCUCACAAUCUGGGACCCCUCAGAGGAUGUCAGAGAGCUGGUUUCAGCCCGAUCCCACAGGCCAGGCCGAGGGACCCCACUGGUGCACA